UACCAAGACUACGAUGGUUAGCGGGUCUGAGAGGAUGAUCCGUCACACUGGCACUGAAACACGGGCCAGACUCCUACGGGAGGCAGCAGUGAGGAAUAUUGCGCAAUGGGGGAAACCCUGACGCAGCGACGCCGCGUGGGUGAGGAAGGCUUUCGGGUCGUAAAGCUCUGUCAGAAGGGAAGAAGUGCUUAUAGGCUAAUACCUUGUAAGUUUGACGGUACCUUCAAAGGAAGCACCGGCUAACUCCGUGCCAGCAGCCGCGGUAAUACGGAGGGUGCAAGCGUUGUUCGGAAUCACUGGGCGUAAAGGGCGCGUAGGCGGCUUGGCAAGUCAGAUGUGAAAGCCCACGGCUUAACCGUGGAAGUGCAUUUGAAACUGCUUGGCUUGAGUAUCAGGGGGGAAAGUGGAAUUCCCGGUGUAGAGGUGAAAUUCGUAGAUAUCGGGAGGAAUACCGGUGGCGAAGGCGACUUUCUGGCUGAAUACUGACGCUGAGGCGCGAAAGCGUGGGGAGCAAACAGGAUUAGAUACCCUGGUAGUCCACGCCGUAAACGAUGUCAACUAGGUGCAGGGGGUGUUGAUCCCCUCUGUGUCGCAGCUAACGCAUUAAGUUGACCGCCUGGGGAGUACGGUCGCAAGAUUAAAACUCAAAGGGAUUGACGGGGGCCCGCACAAGCGGUGGAGUAUGUGGUUUAAUUCGAUGCAACGCGAAGAACCUUACCUGGUCUUGACAUCCCGAAAAAGCCCUAGAAAUAGGGAAGUGCUCUCUUUGAGAGAAUUUGGUGACAGGUGCUGCAUGGCUGUCGUCAGCUCGUGUCGUGAGAUGUUGGGUUAAGUCCCGCAACGAGCGCAACCCUCGCCAUUAGUUGCCAGCAUUAAGUUGGGCACUCUAAUGGGACUGCCGGUGUCAAACCGGAGGAAGGCGGGGAUGACGUCAAGUCCUCAUGGCCUUUAUGACCAGGGCUACACACGUACUACAAUGGCCGGUACAACGGGCUGCCACUUCGCGAGAAGGCGCAAAUCCCUAAAAGCCGGUCUCAGUCCGGAUUGGAGUCUGCAACUCGACUCCAUGAAGUUGGAAUCGCUAGUAAUCGUGGAUCAGCAUGCCGCGGUGAAUACGUUCCCGGGCCUUGUACACACCGCCCGUCACACCACGGGAGUUGGUUGUACCAGAAGCGGUUGAGCUAACCUUCGGGGGGCAGGCUGCCAAGGUAUGGCUGGUAACUGGGGUGAAGUCGUAACAAGGUA
rnacentral:rRNA from 1 species